rnacentral:rRNA from 1 species
GACGAACGCUGGCGGCGUGCUUAACACAUGCAAGUCUACGAUGCUUAUUCAGCAAUGGAUAAGUAGAGUGGCGCACGGGUGCGUAAAGCGCAGGUAAUCUACCUUACAGACGGAAAUAACAUUUCCAACGAGGUGCUAAUAUCCGAUACCGCAAUUUAGUCGCAUGAUUAGAUUGUGAAAUCUUUCGGGGCUGUAAGAUGAGCCUGCGUCCCAUUAGGUAGUUGGAGAGGUAAUGGCUCCCCAAGCCGACGAUGGGUAGCUGGUCUGAGAGGACGAUCAGCCACACUGGAACUGAGACACGGUCCAGACUCCUACGGGAGGCUG